UGGUGUAAGCAUGAUCUGGCCUCAACAUCUCUCACUCUACUCAUGGCUGCUAGACUAGUUAGGUGAGUAUCUUCUCCCUCCCUCGCUAUUCCUUAUACAUCUUUUAAACUCUAUAUUCUUGGUCAAAAUGGGCAACCUUCCUUGGUAGAGGAGUACUGACUUUUCUCAAGAGAGUAUGAGUAUUUGUGCCCCUCUCUGAGAACCUCCAAAUAGUUUCUUAAAAAGUGCCUAUUGAGCCACAGAUCAGUACUUGUACAUGUUCAAAAGAAAUAUAACCCAGUCAUUGGUU
rnacentral:snRNA from 1 species